CUAUUUUUCAUCUUUUUCCUGAUGUGGUAGCUGAAACAAGUCGUGUUUUUUCUAUUUUCCUGAACUCUGGGAUUUCCUAUACAAAACAAAUAUGUGAUUUUAGUAGGCAAGGAUAUCAAUGGGUUUAAACUCUAGCUUCUCUAUCGCAGUUAAGUCCAAUAAAAGCUCGGUAUUCUACACAUUGAGAUCAACAAGAGGACACAUUCUUGCUAAUUUGGUAAGUCUUACAAGUAUGGAAUCUCUAUUAUGAACUAGUUUAUCCAUGGAGUUUCUAAUCAAACUAUUGUGGAGCAGGGGAAGUACGAAAAGAUUCAUAAACCACCAUCUGGACCGAAUCCAAAUGGAAAUCAUCGUCCACCAUCAAGGGCCAAACCCAACUGGAAAUCAUCGUCCACCAUCAGGCCAUGAACAGAAGAACGAGCUAGUCAUAUGAGACCACAAUUACCGAAUUGGAGGGAAUAUACAAGAAGGAUCCAUAUACCACUACUGAGCCAAAGCCAACUAGAAAUUGUCGCCUGCCAUCAAGACCAUGACCAGAAGAACGAGCUAGCCAUAUGAAAUCAUGAUAUUUGCUGAGAGUUGGAGGUUAGACAUAUAUGUAAUAGCUAGAAGAUCUAAGAUUUAGGUUAUUUUGCUUGUACAAACACUGGGAUAUCUUUGAGAUUGGAACUUUAUUAUCCUUCACCAACUAAAUUGUCAGAAGAGUAAUG
rnacentral:lncRNA from 1 species